ACAUCAUAUGAAAGGAGAGGUUAGCUCUCCCCUUGACAAAGAUGGAAGGGCUUGAGCCUCACAACACACAUGUAGCUAAGGCACUGGCACCGAGGCUGUGGCGUCUAAUCACUGUCUUUA
rnacentral:ncRNA from 1 species